GAUGAAGAACGUAGCGAAAUGCGAUAAGUAAUGCGAAUUGCAGAAUUCCAGUGAGUCAUCGAAUCUUUGAACGCACAUUGCGCCCUUUGGUAUUCCGAAGGGCAUGCCUGUUCGAGCGUCAUUAUCACCCCUCAAGCCCUCGGCUUGGUGUUGGACGGUUUGGUGGAGGCCCCCUCGGGGGUUCUUGCCCCUCCCAAAGACAAUGACGGCGGCCUCGUUGGACCCCCGGUACACUGAGUUCUUCACGGGACACGUAUCGGACACAUGGGUUUACGGGACACGGUCUGCCUCCCCUCAGGGAGAAUCUUUCUAAGGUUGACCUCGGAUCAGGUAGGGAUACCCGCUGAACUUAAGCAUAUCAAUAAGCGGAGGA
rnacentral:misc_RNA from 1 species